CCUACGUGUCGCUGCAGUGGGGAAUAUUGGACAAUGGGCGAAAGCCUGAUCCAGCCAUGCCGCGUGUGUGAAGAAGGCCUUCGGGUUGUAAAGCACUUUCAGUGGGGAAGAAAGCCUUGGGGCUAAUACCCUCGAGGAAGGACAUCACCCACAGAAGAAGCACCGGCUAACUCCGUGCCAGCAGCCGCGGUAAUACGGAGGGUGCGAGCGUUAAUCGGAAUUACUGGGCGUAAAGCGCGCGUAGGCGGUCUGAUAAGCCGGUUGUGAAAGCCCCGGGCUCAACCUGGGAACGGCAUCCGGAACUGUCAGGCUAGAGUGCAGGAGAGGAAGGUAGAAUUCCCGGUGUAGCGGUGAAAUGCGUAGAGAUCGGGAGGAAUACCAGUGGCGAAGGCGGCCUUCUGGACUGACACUGACGCUGAGGUGCGAAAGCGUGGGUAGCAAACAGGAUUAGAUACCCUGGUAGUC
rnacentral:rRNA from 1 species